rnacentral:rRNA from 1 species
GAUGAACGCUGGCGGCGUGCCUAAUACAUGCAAGUCGAGCGAAUGGAUUAAGAGCUUGCUCUUAUGAAGUUAGCGGCGGACGGGUGAGUAACACGUUGGUAACCUGCCCAUAAGACUGGGAUAACUCCGGGAAACCGGGGCUAAAACCGGAUAACAUUUUGAACCGCAUGUCUCGAAAGUGAAUGGCGGCUUCGGAUGUCACUUAUGGAUGGACCUGCGUCGCAUUAGCUAGUUGGGGAGGUAACGGCUCACCAAGGCCACGAAGCGUAGCCGAACUGAGAGGGUGGUCGGCCACACUGGGACUGAGACACGGCCCAGACUCCUACGGGAGGCAGCAGUAGGGAAUCUUCCGAAAUGGACGAAAGUCUGACGGAGCAACGCCGCGUGAGUGAUGAAGGCUUUCGGGUCGUAAAACUCUGUUGUUAGGGAAGAACAAGUGCUAGUUGAAUAAGCUGGCACCUUGAUGGUACCUAACCAGAAAGCCACGGCUAACUACGUGCCAGCCGCCGCGGUAA